rnacentral:rRNA from 1 species
CCUACGGGAGGCAGCAGUGAGGAAUAUUGGUCAAUGGACGCAAGUCUGAACCAGCCAUGCCGCGUGCAGGAGGACGGUUCUAUGAGUUGUAAACUGCUUUUGUCCGGGGGUAAAGCCCGAGACGUGUAUCCGGAUGAAAGUAUCGUACGAAAAAGGAUCGGCUAACUCCGUGCCAGCAGCCGCGGUAAUACGGAGGAUGCGAGCGUUAUCCGGAUUUAUUGGGUUUAAAGGGUGCGAAGGCGGUUUGAUAAGUUAGCGGUGAAAGGUCGGGGCUCAACCCCGAGACUGCCUUUAAUACUGGUAGACUAGAGAAUAGGAGCGGUAGGCGGAAUGUAUGGUGUAGCGGUGAAAUGCUUAGAGAUCGCACAGAACACCGAUUGCGAAGGCAGCUUACCGAACUAUAUCUGACGUUGAGGCACGAAAGCGUGGGUAGCGAACAGGAUUAGAUACCCGAGUAGUC